rnacentral:misc_RNA from 1 species
AGAUAAUCAAAAUCUAGAAGUAUGAAGUCAAGAAGAGAGAAAAAAGGCUAGUGGGUUAUGUCAAUUAUUACACCAUUGUCACAUAAUUAAAUUUUGUGAAUUUCACCCAUGAAGGGUUGGCCAAGUGGCAAAGCGCACUUUUUCCCCACACUUGAACGCAGGUUUGGGUAGUGAAGCCGCCAUUCAUUGGAAGGGGUUUAACAUAAUCGCACCCUAGCCCAAAAGGAUUAAUCUUCCAUCUAACCGUAAAAUGGGGGGUGUGGGGGAAUACCCUGGAUAUUUCCAAAAAAAAAAAUUGUGAAUUUCUGUAGCCAAGUGAAUUUCAGUUAAUAUACAUCAUUCUUAAAAAAUUUGAGAACUAAUACAUUAAAGAGUGUUCUGACUAGCCUAUGUGCAUAUUUCAUUUUGGUUUUCACUACAUUUGUCAAGUCAGUUGAACAAGGUGCAAAGAAUUAUUUU